rnacentral:rRNA from 1 species
UACGUAGGGGGCUAGCGUUGUCCGGAUUUAUUGGGCGUAAAGAGCGCGUAGGCGGCUUGGUAAGCCGGAUGUGAAACCCCCGAGCUCAACUCGGGGCGGCCAUUCGGAACUGCCAUGGCUAGAGUCUGGUAGGGGAACACGGAAUUCCCGGUGUAGCGGUGGAAUGCGUAGAGAUCGGGAAGAACAUCGGUGGCGAAGGCGGUCUGCUGGGCCGUUGCUGACGCUGAGGCGCGACAGCGUGGGGAGCAAACAGG